GACGAACGCUGGCGGCGUGCUUAACACAUGCAAGUCGAACGGAAAGGCCCUGCUUUUGUGGGGUGCUCGAGUGGCGAACGGGUGAGUAACACGUGAGUAACCUGCCCUUGACUUUGGGAUAACUUCAGGAAACUGGGGCUAAUACCGGAAAGGAGCUCCUGCUGCAUGGUGGGGGUUGGAAAGUUUCGGCGGUUGGGGAUGGACUCGCGGGUUAUCAGCUUGUUGGUGGGGUAGUGGCUUACCAAGGCUUUGACGGGUAGCCGGCCUGAGAGGGUGACCGGCCACAUUGGGACUGAGAUACGGCCCAGACUCCUACGGGGGGCAGCAGUGGGGAAUAUUGCACAAUGGGCGGAAGCCUGAUGCAGCAACGCCGCGUGCGGGAUGACGGCCUUCGGGUUGUAAACCGCUUUCGCCUGUGACGAAGCGUGAGUGACGGUAAUGGGUAAAGAAGCACCGGCUAACUACGUG
rnacentral:rRNA from 1 species